ensembl:lncRNA
UAACACUACUGACCAUGCUAACACUACUGACCAUGCUAACACUACUGACCAUGCUAACACUACUGACUGAUAACACUAUUGACCAUGCUAACACUACUGACUGAUAACACUACUGACCAUGCUAACACUACUGACCAUGCUAAUACUACUGACUGAUAACCCUUCUAGUGGAGUGGGAAGAGCGCAGCUCCAAACAGAUCAAUGAUGCCUCAGUUGGGCUGGACAUGAGGUGUGUGCUCAAACUCAGAGGACAUGAGGGGGUGCUGCUCCAGACCUUGGAUAUGUGUCAUCUGGUUUCUUCAGGAUUCAAAUAAAGUGGUGAAAAAACAUCAGAACUAUUAGAUGAAAACUGCCUGGAUAGUUACCACAUGAGAUCUGCCUGUUGAAACAUAGAGAUGUGCCUUAAGAUUGACAAGAACUGUUCUGUUAAUAUCUAACCUGUAGUCAGAAACACUGGGGUUAUGAAAGCCAUCCAUAAAUGUCAUGGAGGUUGGGGGAGGGACUGGGUGACUGUCUGCAGGGACACAGAGUUAUAAAACAGUUGAGCUUUACCAGCACAGCAGUUUGAUUAUUAACAGAAUGACGUCCUUCAGACUAACUACUUUUGGAGUUUCAAUAGAGUCUGGCACAAUCCUAAGAGAACAGCCACUUGAGAGCUUCAGAGAACCUGUCACCUUCUGAAAUAUGUGAGAAUGGGGACUGAGGACUGACAACUUAACAGCUGUCCCAGCCUGACCCCAAGCAUCCAGUUCGUAGUGGACUAAUAAUCUGGACCCCACAAUGACUGCAGCCCUGAGGGAAGAGCUGAGGAACACUCUGGGCAACCUCACAGGGGCCGAUUUUAAGAGGUUCAAGCACCUCCUUCGGGACCAGGGCCAAAUCCCAUGGGGAAAACUGGAGAAGGCCGACAUAAACGACACUGUGGACUUGAUGGUAGAGAUGUACUGCAUGAAAGCUGGGGACGUCAUGUUGACCAUCUUGAAGAAGAUGAACCACAACCAGUUGGCCAUGGAGAACGAUCUGGAAGAAUCCCUGAGGGAAGUGAAGAGAGUGCUGAGGAACACUCUGGGCAACCUCACGGAUGCCGAUUUCAAGACGUCCAAGCACCGCCUUCGGGACCAGGAUGACAAAAUCCCAUGGGGACAGCUGGAGAAGGCCGACAGAGAUGACACUGUGGACUUGCUGGUGCAGGUGUACAGCACGGAAGCUGGGGACAACAUGUUGACCAUCUUGAAGGAGAUUAACCAAAACCAGUCGGCCAUAGACUUGGAGAAAGAUCUGGAAGAAUGUGAGUGUGUAGCUCAUAGUCUCUGAUGAGGCAUCUGUGUAUGUAGGAGGAAUUACAUGUAUUCAUCGUAUCUGUUUCUGCUAACACUCUCUCUCUCUCUCUCUCUGACUUUCUCUCUGCUGACUUUCUCUGGGACUCUUUCUGUUUCAUUUAAUCUCUGUCUCCUUUUCUUUCCCACCUCUUUUUCUCUCUCAUUCAUCCCCUCUUUCUGUCUCCUCCCUCUGUCUGACUGGGUAUCUAUCUGUCUCUUCGUUCUCUCUAUCUUUCUCUGUGCCACUCUCCCCCUCUCUCUUCCUUUCAUCUCUCUCACUCUCUCUCUCUGACCCC